rnacentral:rRNA from 1 species
CAAUAGCGUAUAUUAAAGUUGUUGCAGUUAAAAAGCUCGUAGUUGGACCUUGGACCUGGACAGGCGGUCCGCCUCACGGCGAGUACUGUCUUGCUGGGUCUUUCCUCUUGGUGAUCUGUUGUUUCGGCAGCAGGGAACCAGGACCUUUACUUUGAAAAAAUUAGAGUGUUCAAAGCAGGCUCGACGCCGGAAUAUAUUAGCAUGGAAUAAUAAAAUAGGACGUGCGGUUCUAUUUUGUUGGUUUUUGGAAUCGCCGUAAUGAUUAAUAGGGACAGUCGGGGGCAUUAGUACUCACAUGCUAGAGGUGAAAUUCUUGGAUUUGUUAAAGACGGACUACUGCGAAAGCAUUUGCCAAGGAUGUUUUCAUUGA